AUCUCUGGAAAAAAGUAUCAUCUUUACUGUUAAUGGGCUAAUAUUUACAAUAUUUUAAAGGCUACUUUGUUAUGAUGAUUUGAUUCAACGCUCUUGUUUUGUAAAUCGUUUUUCAGUUUGCAUACAUACAUUAUUCAUUAAUACUUUAUUUAUGUGCUUGAAACUGAAGUAUAGUGUGUGUUUUUUUUGCCCUCUAUUAUGUGCGUCACCUACAUAACAUGCUAUGUUUCCACUUUUUUGUUUUUCAAGUAAACGAUGGGUCAUGAUCGAGAUAUACAUUGAAUACGUGAGGGUCAUACCUGUCUCGCAGUAUCUACCGGUGUAACCGGGCAGGCAAUGUCAUAACUACAUUAUAUCAGUAUUCGCGGGCAUUAAGACAAACGUUGGGGUCAUGCCUGUCUCGCAGUAGCUACCGGUGUUACCGGGCAGGCAAUGACAUAACUACAUUAGACCAAUGUUCGCGGGCGUAAAGACAUACGUGAGGGUCAUACCUGUAUCGCAGUAUCUACCGGUGUAACCGGGCAGGCAAUGACAUAACUACAUUAGACCAGUGUUCGCGGGAAUUAAGACAUACGUGAGGGCCAUACCUGUCUCGCAGUAUCUACCGGUGUAACCGGGAAGGCAAUGACAUAACUACAUUAGACCAGUGUUCGCGGGCAUUAAGACAUACGUGAGGGCCAUACCUUUCUCGCAGUAUCUACCGGUGUAACCGGGCAGGCAAUGACAUAACUACAUUAGACCAGUGUUCGCGGGCAUUAAGAAAUACGUGAGGGCCAUACCUGUCUCGCAGUAUCUACCGUUGUAACCGGGAAGGCAAAUGACAUAACUACUUAAGACCAGUGUUCGCGAGCAUUUAGACAUACGUGAGGGUCGUACCUGUCUCGCAGUGUCUACCGGUGUAACCGUGAAGGCAAUGACAUAACUACAUUAGACCAGUGUUCGCGGGCAUUAAGACAUACAUGAGGGUCGUACCUGUCUCGCAGUAUCUACCGGUGUAACUGGGAAGGCAAUGACAUUACUACAUUAUACCAGUGUUCGCGGGCAUUAAGACAUACGUGAGGGCCAUACCUGUCUCGCAGUAUCUACCGGUGUAACCGGGAAGGCAAUGACAUAACUACAUUAGACCAGUGUUCGCGGGCAUUAAGACAUACGCGAGGGUUAUACCUGUCUCGCAGUAUCUACCGGUGUAACCGGGAAGGCAAUGACAUAACUACAUUAGACCAGUGUUCGCGGGCAUUAAGACACACGUGAGGGUCGUACCUGUCUCGCAGUGUCUAUCGGUGUAACCAGGAAGGCAAUGACAUAACUACAUUAGACCAGUGUUCGCAGGCAUUAAGACAUACAUGAGGGUCGUACCUGUCUCGCAGUAUCUACCGGUGUAAUCGGGAAGACAAUGACAUAACUACAUUAGACCAGUGUUCGCGGGCAUUAAGACAUACGUGAGGGUCGUGCCUGUCACGCAGUGUCUACCGGUGUAACCGGGAAGGCAAUGACAUUACUACAUUAGACUAGUGUUCGCGGGCAUUAAGACAUACGCGAGGGUCAUACCUGUCUCGCAGUAUCUACCGGUGUAACCGGGAAAGCAAUGACAUAACUACAUUAGAACAGUGUUCGCGGGCAUUAAGACACACGGGAGGGUCGUACCUGUCUCGCAGUGUCUACCGGUGUAACCGGGAAGGCAAUGACAUAACAACAUUAGACCAGUGUUUGCAGGCAUUAAGACAUACAUGAGGAUCGUACCUGUCUCGCAGUAUCUACCGGUGUAACCGGGAAGGCAAUGAUAUAACUACAUAAGACCAGUGUUCGCGGGCAUUAAGACAUACGUGAGGGUCGUACCUGUCUCGCAGUGUCUACCGGUGUAACCGGGAAGGCAAUGACAUAACUACAUUAGACCAGUGUUCGCGGGCAUUAAGACAUACGUGAGGGUCGUACCUGUCUCGCAGUAUCUACCGGUGCAACCGGGAAGGCAGUGACAUAACUACAUUAAAUCAGUGUUCGCGAACAUUAAGAGAUACGUGAGGGUCAUACCUGUCUCGCAGUAUCUGCCGGUGUAACCGGGCAGGCAGUGACAUAACUACAUUAUAAAAGUGUUCGCGGGUAUUAAGAAAUACGUUAGGGCCAUACCUGUCUCGCAGUAUCUACCGGUGUAACCGGGAAGGCAAAUGACAUAACUACAUUAGACCAGUGUUCGCGGGCAUUAAGACAUACGCGAGUGUCAUACCUGUCUCGCAGUAUCUACCGGUGUAACCGGGAAGGCAAUGACAUAACUACAUUAGACCAGUGUUCACGGACAUUAAGACAUACGUGAGGGUCGUACCUGUCUCGCAGUGUCAACCAGUAUAACCGGGAAGGCAAUGACAAAACUACAUUAGACCAGUGUUCGCGGGCAUUAAGACAUACAUUAGGGUCGUACCUGUCUCGCAGUAUCUACCGGUGUAACCAGGAAGGCAAUGACAUAACUACAUAAGACCAGUGUUCGCGGGCAUUAAGACAUACGUGAGGGUCGUACCUGUCUCGCAGUGUCUACCGGUGUAACCGUGAAGGCAAUGACAUAACUACAUUAGACCAGUGUUCGCGGGCAUUAAGACAUACAUGAGGGUCGUACCUGUCUCGCAGUAUCUACCGGUGUAACCGGGAAGGCAAUGACAUAACUACAUUAGACCAGUGUUCGCGGGCAUUAAGACAUACAUGAGGGUCGUACCUGUCUCGCAGUAUCUACCGGUGUAACCGGGAAGGCAAUGACAUAACUACAUAAGACCAGUGUUCGCGGGCAUUAAGACAUACGAGAGGGUCAUACCUGUCUCGCAGUCUCUACCGGUGUAACCGGGAAGGCAAUGACAUAACUACAUUAGACCAGUGUUCGCGGGCAUUAAGACACACGUGGGGGUCGUACCUGUCUCGCAGGGUCUACCGGUGUAACCGGGAAGGCAAUGACAUAACUACAUUAGACCAGUGUUCGCAGGCAUUAAGACAUACUUGAGGGUCGUACCUGUCUCGCAGUAUCUACCGGUGUAACCGGGAAGGCAAUGACAUAACUACAUUAGACCAGUGUUCGCGGGCAUUAAGACUUACGUGAGGGCCAUACCUGUCUCGCAGUUUCUACCGGUGUAACCGGGAAGGCAAUGACAUAACUACAUUAGACCAGUGUUCGCGGGCAUUAAGACACACGUGGGGGUCGUACCUGUCUCGCAGUGUCUACCGGUGUAACCGGGAAGGCAAUGACAUAACUACAUUAGACCAGUGUUGGCAGGCAUUAAGACAUACAUGAGAACGUACCUGUCUCGCGGUAUCUACAGGUUUAACCGGGAAGGCAAUGACAUAACUACAUUAGACCAGUGUUCGCGGGCAUUAAGAUAUACGCGAGGGUCUAACCUGUCUCGCAGUGUCUACCGGUGUAAUCGGGAAGGCAAUGACACUACUACAUUAGACCAGUGUUCGCGGGCAUUAAGACAUACGUGAGGGUCGUACCUGUCUCUCAGUGUCUACCGGUGUAACCGGGAAGGCAAUGACAUAACUACAUUAGACCAGUGUUCGCGGGCAUUAAGACAUACAUUAGGGUCAUACCUGUCUCGCAGUAUCUAUCGGUGUUACCGGGCAGGCAGUGACAUAACCACAUUAGAUCAGUGUUGAAACUUAAGUACAUGUAUGUAGUGUGUAUUUUGCCAUCUAUUAUAUUCGUCUCGCAAUAUCUACCGGUUUACCAGGGCAGGCAGUGACAUUACCACAUUAGAUCAGUGUUCGCGGACAUAAAGACAUACCUGUCUCGCAAUAUCUGCCGGUGUAUCCAGGUCGGCAGUGGCACACCCCUUUGAGCUCCGUAUUUGUACACGAGGCACCGUUCUGGCACGUUAUCGUCGAGCAAUAGUCUGCAGAAGAAAUAGAAAUACUAAAUAUACAGCUGAUUUUCUUAAAGACUGAGUACGUCGAAAAACGAUAAUGUUCAAUAAAUUAUUCGCCAGUUAAUGCA